AAAACAUAGCCUAGGGAAAAUUAUCCUAGGUGAAACCUGCCCGGUGACUAGAUUUUAACGGCCGCGGUACUUUGACCGUGCUAAGGUAGCGUAAUCAGUUGACUUUUAAAUGAAGUCUUGUAUGAAUGGAUUUAUGGGAUUAAGCUGUCUCUUUUGUAUUCUAUUGAAAUUACUAAUUAGGUGAAAAGGCCUAUAAAUGAAAAAAGACGAGAAGACCCUUAGAGUUUUAAUAAAUAGGUUUUUGUUGGGGCGACAAGAAGACAUAUAUAACUCUUCUAUUAGAAAAAUACUUGCCGGUUCUUUUAAGUAUGAAUAAACUACCUUAGGGAUAACAGCAUAAUCCAGUUUGGGUUUGUGACCUCGAUGUUGGACUAGGAAAAUUAUGCCCUAGCAGGGUGUAUAUUUAGGUUCUGUUCGAACUUUUAUUCCUACGUGAUCU
rnacentral:rRNA from 1 species